CUAAAAUUUACUUUAUGCACUUAAUUAGAUAUACCAGUGUCACGACUGGUUGGACAAGCUACAUGUAUCAAUUACAGGGUAAUUUAAACAAAAUGUUACGUCAAUUUCAUAAAUUAUAAACUUGUUUGUAUCCAUGCAUGUCGAAUAAUAAUAUUUAUAGAAUACUCACCUGUAUCAGUAUUCUCAUCUAAAAUUCGCGGCGGAUGAUAUAUCACAUAUUUUAAAAUUGAAAACGAAUAGAAAGUGUCGAAAAAACUGUAAGUAUUUUAUAUCUCUAUAUUUAUUGCUUUUUUGUAGUUAGAAUUAACAAUCAAAUGUUUUGUGGUAGAAUAAUCGAUUAUUCUUAGUUUAAACACCAACCAAUAAUAUUUUGUGGAUAGAACGAUUUUUUUUCUGGAAACAAAAUACAUCGUCUUUAAUAAAACACGUGAUUUUUUAAAAUAAACAAGAGUUAGAGAUUUGAAUAGGGAAACAGAUUUGAUAAAUAUAAAUGUAUAAAAGUAUUUUAUAGUGUGUCUUUCUAUGUUGUAAUGUUACACUAUUAUUUCAGAUAAGAAUGAAGGUUUGGUAUCAUUAAAACUCAUACCACAUCUUCUUAUAUAAUAAAGGAUCAUUUUAAUCAUGUAAACAGAUGUUAUAUUUCCAAUUAGAAACUGAUGACGCACGAUAACCCACGUGUCGUACAUUUCACUUCAAAAUCACAAAUCAGUGUUAUUGAAAUAAUUUGCUUAAAGUAAGAUUAGACCUACGCCUGUUUAUCUUUUUGCAGUUUGAAUUGCAUAAAAGGUGGCUCGUUAACAGUCUUUCGAAAGGUUUUUCUACGCUUAGCGGUCCAGAAAAUGUUACCUUAUUUAGAAUGAAAUAUUUGACAAUUUCACAAACUUGGUAUGCUAUAUCUGUUCAAUUUGAUAACAUAUUGAUUGUAUUAAAAGGACGUACUUUGGGGAAUAAAAACAAAAUCUAGAAUCUACAAUUGUUACUAGUAGUAUAAGACUAAGUUAGAAUAUCAUUUUAAUUUACUUUAUUCACAGAAAAAGCUAAAAAUAUUGAUAGGUUUUAAAAUUUUGAUCUCCUUUUCGAUUUUAAUUGACUUUUGUUGAAUAGUGUGAGAAGGAUGACUCAGACUUUUACCUUAUAUGUGACCCGCCACGACAUAUCAAGACUGUUGGAGGUAGAACGUCAUCGUGUGAAAAACGCCAUGAACCAUAUACGAUUAGACACUUCCUGCCUUAUGAGGGUACAUUGUUUCAAAUUUGCUAAUCUAUAUGGAACAUAAAUUUCUAGACAUGCUAUUAUGGCCUAUUUUUAAACAAGUAGAUUCGAAAACUGGCAUGAUAAUGAGACUUUUCGACGACGACCUUUUAUUAUCGAAUACGCUAACUUAUAUUUAGUAUGCGACACGUAACAAAUUUAAGUAUUUGUACAUGUUCUCAUAUAACAAAUGUAUAGACAUUUGAUACGGUACAUAAAUUAUGUAUAUAUUUUAGAUCCUAUUCAUGAAAAUUUAAAGAGCAGAGUGUUUUGAUGUAUUUUUUUUUAUCAAUUUAAAAUGUAUAAAUUCAAUUAAUAACGUAAAACUUCUGCAGACACUAUAUGAUGUAUAGUUCAGUGCCCUCGAUAAAGAUGCAUAGAUGAGGUUCGGAACUCUACUUCACAAAUGCGUAACAGUAUACAAUUGAAUCUCGAUCAAAUUAUCAUUUAGAAGUUGUUUUUUUUUUAGCAUAUAUAAUUACAAACUGCUGAUGAAAGCAAACUUAACAAAGUGUUUGUUCGGUUUUUAUAGAGCAGUUUUGAAAUACAAUUAUUUUGUAUAUAUAUGUUUUUUUAAUAUUAUGCAUUUUUUUAAAAAAAAUUUUGAGGAUGAGCGAAUCAGGCCCAAGACCACAAUUAAUGACCCCGCUAUAGUUCCCUUUAAUUAUAGUGUAUUUUUUUUAUUUUUUUUUCCCUUUUUCAUUCCUUUCUUUGCUUUUCUGGGGUGGACAUGAAAGAAGAGAGCUGAAAUAAACUUUUGGAUGUUUUAUUUUAACUAAUUUUAAUAAGGAAAGAGUGAUUAGGCCAGGUGCGAAAAGGUAAUAUUUACACUUUUCGGAACAUCUCUUGACUUGCCUAUAGGGGUAUGGAUGUGUAUUAGCUAAAUUUGUAUGAUGUACUUGUACUGUAGAUUACACACAAAAAAAAAUUAGACAAAAAGAAUAGGCAAAAUUUUUUUAAUGCGAAAAAACGUUAUAAAGAAAUGAUAGAGGAAUUAAUUGUGGUCUCGGGCCAUCAGGUGAGUAGGUGUGUUCGUUUGCUUUAUCACUUUGUACUUUUUGUUUUGGGGAAGGUUAACUUUCUAGUAGUAAGACCCGUCACGGCCAGGCUUGGACACUGGAAAGGCAAAUGCUCACAUUAAAUCUGUACCGAUAAAGUCUGUUAAAUGUCUUCUUUUUUACACCAUAACACAUGGUGGUGCUCCUUUACAAUUUCGAUAUAGGACAUGAUAAUAGGGAAUGACGAUUGCAUUGAAACUUAUAAUAACAUAUAUAUUCGAUAUGAUAUGACUUACAUAUGAAUUCAUCUGUAAAAUUACGGUUAUGAUCUUAUAUUCAUUGUUCAAUGAACCUCAGAAAAUGAUAAAAUGAGUGCAUUAGCAGUUAUACUUUUAUUAACUUUGGGUUGGUUUAUUAGAACUUAAUUUGAUAUGCUUUGUAAAGCACAAAAGGACAAAUAACUCUUAGUUGAGUUAUUUUGCUUAUAUAAUUUUAAAAGGAUAUAAAUGGAGAGUGCACUUGACCAUACUGUCAUACACGUAACCCCAGUACAUAUACAUAAACCGGAAUAAUUUUUGUGUUGCAUCCUGGCAGAUCAUGAGAGACUCUAGCACUGAAAUGAAGAGGUAAAACGGUUCCGCAAGAAAGACAGUCGUGCAAUGACAUCCACCAAUGGCCAUUAUACAUUGCUGUGAAUUAUCAUAUGCAGGAGUAAUAAAUGCAUUUCAUAGAAAAUUGGUUGAAGUUUUCUUUUCAGGUCUCUAUUUCGUUGUCCGGCAAGUUACUUAACACGAACAACUAGAAACAUAGCAUUCAAUCACAACAGACAUCGUCAAGAUUCAAAUUUAAUGAUGCAGAUAUCUAAAACGCCGCGUAAAAAGGUAAAAAUAACCAUCAUGGUAAAAUUGUAUACAUCAUUUUUAGCAUAAAUAAAGCGUUUUUUCACAUUUUAAAAAUUUUGUUUUGUUUUUUUUGUUUUAUUUUAGGUAACCAUAAUGGGAACUUUUAUGGGACAUGUCUUUCCAGGGUCAAUUUUCAUAAUCAUUGGAAUAUGGUGGAUGGUAAAUAUAUUGAGGAGAUAUUUUGAUUGCAAAAACAGCAAUGCACCUUUUUCAUCAACAGUUACAUUCAAGUUGAAGAGGUUUCCUAUUGAGGCAGUGUGUAAAGUAUUGUUCAUAACAGUUGGACUUAUUGAUGAAUUGACAUUAAACAAUAAACAGCAUGCAACAAUGUACGCUUUCUUCGGAUUAACAGGGAUUGUAGAUCUUAUGGUCUUCUUCAACACACUUCCAAUAAAAGAUCUCGAUUACGUCACAUUGAGCUUUGCAUUAUUGAUGGAAGCUAUUUUAUUCAAAUAUCAUCUUUUUGGACGAGACACUCUCAAUGUGGUCUUGCAUCAUUUGCUUAUAUUUGUAAUCUUGACAACAUUUGCUGUUACCUUAUUAGAAAUGAAGUUUAAAAAUGUAGUAACUUUACCAUUGUUUCGGUCGUAUCUUUUGAUUUUACAAGGAACUUGGUUUUAUCAAGUAGGAUGCAUAUUAUACAAAAAUCCAUUCUUUGAGCCUUGGAAAAGUAACGACAAUAACAACUUGAUGAAUACAGGUUUAAUAUUUACCUGGCAUUGUGGAAUUAUUUUUAUUGCAUUUAUAUUAACUGUCUGCGUAUUUUCAAUACUGUAUAGACAAAAAGAACCAAUAAAACGGACAUUUGACCAAUCGAACAGCUCUGAGUGUGAAACUGAAUUACUUUUAGAAGAAAAUUAAUUAAUAUGAUCUGAAUCGAAACUCUUUAUGCUAGCAAAUUAGGAAUGCUUAUAUAUACUAUUAUAACAAUUUUAUUGCAAACAUAUGAGUCGUUUGGAGUCAUAGUGUACGUCUCUGGAAUAGACCUGUCAAAUUUGAUGAUAAGAGAGAUCGGGAAAUAAUUGGUAUUCUAAUUUCAAAGACAUACUCACCCAACUUAAUGUGAGAGCAAGCAAGUUUUUAGUAUGACGUUGUUCGAAUCCAGUUUGAAACAUAUUUAUCUGUUUAUGAAAAAAAAACCACCAACAUUGUAACAACAUAUGUGAUAGUGAAGGCGAACUUCAGAUUAAAAACACUCGUUUGAUAACGCAAUUAUCAUUUAGUAUGAACAAAUCUACUGAACGGUCUUUCCUGAAACAACUUAGAUGUGAAGUUCUUCCUUUUAGGCUAGAGGCGAAAACAUAUACAGUGAUAACAAUGAGUGCGUCUGUCAAGUUUGUGCUGCUUGCGCAACAAGCGUCAGAUAAAUUUAGCAUUGAACCCAACAACUUUUUAAAUUGAUUUAAUUUGCUUCUCAAAAUUCUGCCAGGGCAUCCUGUCCAGGAAUCAAUAUUGAAAGUUUUUUUUUCACUCUGCUCAGAAUAUUUGGAGGGAAUUGCUGUCAACAGGACUCAUCGCCAACUAUGAAAAGGAGAAUCAGACAUUAAUUAACUAAUACUCAGGAUAGCAGUUUUUCCUCUGAUACCAAGAAUUAGAUUGAAAAAGAAGACGUCGGUUACAAUGCAUUUUAAAACCAGGAAAAUUAUAACCUAUCGGCAAAUACCGCUUAGUUUCCGGACUACGUCACAACAUAAUGGGUUUAAGGCAACCGACAGCUAUUGAACCAUCAUCGAGUCGAAGGACCAAGGUUGACGAACAACCUCAAAUGUAUGCACAGGAGCUUAUUCUUUAGUUUUCUAUGUUGUGUCAUGUGUACUAUUGUUUGUCUGUUUGUCUUUAUCAUUUUUAGCCAUGGCGUUGUCAGUUUAUUUUCGAUUUAUGAGUUUGACUGUCCCUCUGAUAUCUUUCGUCCCUCUUUUAUAAUAAAUCUGGAUAUAAGGACAAAUUAUUUGGUGUUAAUUUACUACAGUUAUUGGUUUGUAUACAUUUAAAUUGUGUGUACUAGGAUGGAAAGGAUUAUUGCAAUGUCAUUGAUGAGAUUAGAAUACAGGUGUACUUUACGCUUAGAAAAUUCUGUUUUUAUAUACCUUUC
rnacentral:lncRNA from 1 species